rnacentral:ncRNA from 1 species
UGAAAACCAAUGAGGAAAAAAGUAACUAGAUCCCAUACAAACAGAGACGGAUUGCCAUCAGGCUGAAAGCAUUCCUUUGUGAUGGUCUAGUGAAAGACAUUUCUUAGGUGCCAUAUCGAAAGCGAGUAGGUAUGGACGUACACAGGCGUUAACUGUUUUUGAGUGGAAGCUUUGCUUCAAUCAGGGUGGCAACGCGGGAGGAGUUCCCGUCCCUUUU